rnacentral:lncRNA from 1 species
GAGGGCAGAAGCUUCCGCUGCCGUACCCACAAGGAUAUGGCCUGAUGAAAAAAAUACAACUGAUGCUCUUUUGGAAGGGCGGGGAGGGGGGAAGAGAAGGUUUCGCCAGCUUUACUGAGCAUGCGCAUAAGAAUAUUAGUCAUAGGAUAAUGAAGUCAACCUAAACUAAACCAGCACUGAAGAUUGACACGGCACAGAAUUGAACGCAGCCUGAUUUCAGGAGAGGAACUACAAGAUUGAAAGGUUAUAACAUCCAACAACUCUGCAUCUCUUCUGUGAAAUAGAUCCCAUUGUCACACUGUAGCUUUGCUUUAAGAUAGCUCUGAGGUAGACCUACAAUUAAAAAUUAGCCUACCCUUUACAUGUUUUUGAGCUGGGUAUUGUCUUUCUAAUCCGUUGUGCAAAUAUUUUAAUCUUGGAAGCUACAGCCUUCUCUCUUUCCACUAUAUAAUUAAGUUGAGAUGGGUUGGUAUAAAUAAGAUAUUUACCUGUCAUAUCAUCUUUCCUAUAGCCUGUUCAUAACUGUUUACAUUAUUUUAAAUUGAGAAUUGUGCAACAUGUAUGGAUAAAGUCUCUUCUACAAUUUCCUCUACCUCUCCUUAGAAAUAAUAUGAUUCUUUUCCUGUAUCCAUCAAAAUCAUGUUGAGGUGCUUCCAUUUUCUUGAGUUUCUGACUAAAUUAAAAUCUACAUUUUGUCUUUA